UACGUAGGUGGCAAGCGUUGUCCGGAAUUAUUGGGCGUAAAGAGCUCGUAGGCGGUUUGUCGCGUCUGCUGUGAAAACUCGGGCUUAACCCGGGCUGCAGCUGGGUACGGGCAGACUAGAGUGCGGUAGGGGAGACUGGAAUUCCUGGUGUAGGCGGUGAAAUGCGCAGAUAGUCAGGAGGAACACCGGUGGCGAAGGCGGGUCUCUGGGCCGUAACUGACGCUGGAGGAGCGAAAGCGUGGGGAGCGAACAGG
rnacentral:rRNA from 1 species